rnacentral:lncRNA from 1 species
GCUAAACACUUGAAAACUGACUUAGAAAUGUAAAAACAAAGUUUAAAGCACUAGAUUGGACUCAAAGAAGCAAAACUCACGUUAAAAUACUAAAACGAACCAAAAGAAUCCAAACAGCAACCAAACACUCAAAACUGCCUAAAAACCACUUUCUGGGCAGUUUUGAACACAAAACACCAAUUUGGACGAAUUUGGGUUUUAACUUGUACCAAAACACUUAAAAAACAUAAACCAACACACUUCUAACUAAUCUAGGAC